CAGCAGCCGCGGUAAUACGAGGGGGGCAAGCGUUGUUCGGAAUUAUUGGGCGUAAAGGGCGCGUAGGCGGUUUGGCAAGUUUGGUGUGAAAUCUUCGGGCUCAACUCGAAGUCUGCAUCGAAAACUGCCGGGCUUGAGUAUGGGAGAGGUGAGUGGAAUUUCCGGUGUAGCGGUGAAAUGCGUAGAUAUCGGAAGGAACACCUGUGGCGAAAGCGGCUCACUGGACCAUUACUGACGCUGAGGCGCGAAAGCUAGGGGAGCAAACAGGAUUAGAUACCCCAGUAGUCCCUGUCUCUUAUAC
rnacentral:rRNA from 1 species